CCUUCGCUUUCUCUUUUCCAGAAAGCACUGGAGGACUCAGGGCAGCAAAGAGGCGUGGUCCUGGCUGCCCGCCUCCUGUGGGAACCUAUGAGGAGGCCUCGAAGCAGCCCAGCAGCCGUCCAGUGGGCGUGGGCUUUCGCACAGCUCUGCACUGAAGGGCUGGGGGCCUGGUGGGUGGUGAUUUCCAUGCCAACCUGCGUCUCAGACUGUCCCCAGAUCGCAUGGCCCUGAACAAAGACAGCGAGCGGCCUUACCCUGAGGAACUGGAUCCCCGAGGAGGUCCGAUGACAGCAGAGAGAGGCCCCAAGGUCACCUGAAUGCUGCCCCAAGCAGGGGGUCUGCGAGAUGCUCGAGGAGGACACUGAAGGCUCCGGGAGCUGGGGUAUCAGAUGAGCCCUGCCUGUCCCAGCUGCAGCUUCCUCUGCGGGGAAGCUUCUUCCCAACCCUCCGGGGCUGUGUACUGUGCAGCUUCCCUGCCCACUCUGGCUUCUUUCCUUCCCAUCGCUCCCCAAGGCCGAACCCACCCCCGCCCCAGGCUCUUGGUUCUCAGGCCGGUCACCCACUCUCCCUAUGGCUCCUUCCCUCAACCCAGAAGCACACUCAGGUCUUUGCAGUCUUACAAUAAAUCUUCCUUUUGUCC